rnacentral:rRNA from 1 species
AGAGUUUGAUCCUGGCUCAGAUUGAACGCUGGCGGCAUGCUUUACACAUGCAAGUCGAACGGCAGCACAGGGAGCUUGCUCCCGGGUGGCGAGUGGCGGCACGGGUGAGUAAUACAUCGGAACGUGUCCUGUUNUGGGGGAUAACUGCUCGAAAGGGUGGCUAAUACCGCAUGAGACCUGAGGGUGAAAGCGGGGGAUCGUAAGACCUCGCGCAAUUGGAGCGGCCGAUGCCCGAUUAGCUAGUUGGUGAGGUAAAGGCUCACCAAGGCGACGAUCGGUAGCUGGUCUGAGAGGACGACCAGCCACACUGGGACUGAGACACGGCCCAGACUCAUACGGGAGGCAGCA